rnacentral:rRNA from 1 species
UACGUAGGGUGCGAGCGUUAAUCGGAAUUACUGGGCGUAAAGCGUGCGCAGGCGGUCUGUUAAGACCGAUGUGAAAUCCCCGGGCUUAACCUGGGAACUGCAUUGGUGACUGGCAGGCUUUGAGUGUGGCAGAGGGAGGUAGAAUUCCACGUGUAGCAGUGAAAUGCGUAGAGAUGUGGAGGAAUACCGAUGGCGAAGGCAGCCUCCUGGGCCAACACUGACGCUCGAU